UACGGAGGAUGCAAGCGUUAUCCGGAAUGAUUGGGCGUAAAGCGCACGUAGGCGGCUUUGUAAGUUAGAGGUGAAAGCCUGGAGCUUAACUCCAGAACUGCCUUUAAGACUGCAUCGCUUGAAUCCGGGAGAGGUGAGUGGAAUUCCGAGUGUAGAGGUGAAAUUCGUAGAUAUUCGGAAGAACACCAGUGGCGAAGGCGGCUCACUGGACCGGUAUUGACGCUGAGGUGCGAAAGCGUGGGGAGCAAACAGG
rnacentral:rRNA from 1 species